rnacentral:rRNA from 1 species
UGGGGAAUUUUGCACAAUGGAGGAAACUCUGAUGCAGCGACGCCGCGUGAGUGAUGAAGAUCUUCGGAUUGUAAAACUCUGUUCUUAGUGAAGAUAAUGACAGUAACUAAGAAGCAAGCCCUGGCUAAAUACGUGCCAGCAGCCGCGGUAAUACGUAUGGGGCAAGCGUUGUCCGGAAUUAUUGGGCGUAAAGGGUACGUAGGCGGUUUAAUAAGUCCUAAUUAAAAGGCUAUGGCUCAACCAUAGUAUGGUUAGGAAACUGUUGAACUUGAGUAGAUGAGAGGAAAGUGGAAUUCCAUGUGUAGCGGUGAAAUGCGUAGAUAUAUGGAGGAACACCAAUGGCGAAGGCAACUUUCUGGAAUCAAACUGACGCUGAGGUACGAAGGCGUGGGGAACAAACAGG